GCGAACAACAAAAGCUCUUGAAAUCAUUGGAUUGUCUUAUCAAUGAGUUGCAUGAAUUAAAUAAAUCGCAUACAACCGAGACAAAAACUGAUACAAAUAAAAGGUUUCUCGACAUUCUGAUGAAAUUAUCUAAAA